AGCUUCAGGAGCGUAUAUAAACGUUGUUGCAGUUAAAAAGCUCGUAGUUGGAUGUCUGGUGUGAGGUGCCUGGCCCGCCGGGGUUAUCCCGUGUGAGUGCUGGCGCGUCUCCACCAUCCUUCGGGGGACCGCGCCUACCCUUAAUUGGGCGGGGCGCGUGAGCCCGAUCGUUUACUUUGAAAAAAUUAGAGUGUUCCACGCAGGCUCGCGCUGUGAAUACAUUAGCAUGGAAUAAUGACAUAGGACUUUGGUUCUAUUUUGUUGGUUUUAAGGACCGAAGUAAUGAUUGAUAGGGAUAGUUGGGGGUGCUCGUAUUCAGCGGCCAGAGGUGAAAUUCUUGGAUUCGCUGAAGACGAACUUAUGCGAAAGCAUUCACCAAGGAUGUCUUCUUUAAUCAAGA
rnacentral:rRNA from 1 species